rnacentral:rRNA from 1 species
GAUGAACGCUGGCGGCGUGCCUAAUACAUGCAAGUCGAGCGAAUGGAUUAAGAGCUUGCUCUUAUGAAGUUAGCGGCGGACGGGUGAGUAACACGUGGGUAACCUGCCCAUAAGACUGGGAUAACUCCGGGAAACCGGGGCUAAUACCGGAUAACAUUUUGAACCGCAUGGUUCGAAAUUGAAAGGCGGCUUCGGCUGUCACUUAUGGAUGGACCCGCGUCGCAUUAGCUAGUAGGGGAGGUAACGGAUCACCAAGGCACCGAUGCGUAGCCGACCUGGGAGGGUGAUCGGCCACACUGGGUCUGAGACACGGCCCAGACUCCUACGGGAGGCAGCAGUAGGGGAUCUUCCGCAAUGGACGAAAGUCUGACGGAGCAACGCCGCGUAAGUGAUGAAGGCUUUCGGGUCGUAAAACUCUGUUGUUAGGGAAGAACAAGUGCUAGUUGAAUAAGCUGGCACCUUGACGGUACCUAACCAGAAAGCCACGGCUAACUACGUGCCAGCCGCCGCCGUAA